GCGCCGGUGGUGUAACGCGAACACUGGAAAACAGAAGAUGCGGGUUCGAGUCCCGCCUGGCGCA
rnacentral:tRNA from 1 species